rnacentral:rRNA from 1 species
CCUACGGGAGGCUGCAGUGGGGAAUAUUGCACAAUGGGGGAAACCCUGAUGCAGCGACGCCGCGUGAGUGAAGAAGUAUUUCGGUACGUAAAGCUCUAUCAGCAGGGAAGAAAAUGACGGUACCUGACUAAGAAGCCCCGGCUAACUACGUGCCAGCAGCCGCGGUAAUACGUAGGGGGCAAGCGUUAUCCGGAUUGAUGGGGUGUAAAGGGAGCGUAGACGGCAGCGCAAGUCUGGAGUGAAAUCCCAUGGCUUAACCAUGGAACUGCUUUGGAAACUGUGCAGCUAGAGUGCAGGAGAGGUAAGCGGAAUUCCUAGUGUAGCGGUGAAAUGCGUAGAUAUUAGGAGGAACACCAGUGGCGAAGGCGGCUUACUGGACUGUAACUGACGUUGAGGCGCGAAAGCGUGGGGAGCAAACAGGAUUAGAUACCCGUGUAGUC